rnacentral:rRNA from 1 species
AUGCAUCGAUGCUAUUGCACCACAUGUGUUUUUCUUUGAAACAAACUUGCUUUGGCGGUGGGCCCAGCCUGCCGCCAGAGGUCUAAACUUACAACCAAUUUUUUAUCAACUUGUCACACCAGAUUAUUACUUAAUAGUCAAAACUUUCAACAACGGAUCUCUUGGUUCUCGCAUCGAUGAAGAACGCAGCGAAAUGCGAUACGUAAUAUGAAUUGCAGAUAUUCGUGAAUCAUCGAAUCUUUGAACGCACAUUGCGCCCUCUGGUAUUCCGGAGGGCAUGCCUGUUUGAGCGUCGUUUCUCCCUCAAACCGCUGGGUUUGGUGUUGAGCAAUACGACUUGGGUUUGCUUGAAAGACGGUAGUGGUAAGGCGGGAUCGCUUUGACAAUGGCUUAGGUCUAACCAAAAACAUUGCUUGCGGCGGUAACGUCCACCACGUAUAUCUUCAAACUUUGACCUCAAAUCAGGUAGGACUACCCGCUGAACUUAAGCAUAUCAAAAGGGCGGGAGGAA